rnacentral:rRNA from 1 species
GACGAACGCUGGCGGCGCGCCUAACACAUGCAAGUCGAACGAGCGAGAGAGAGCUUGCUUUCUCGAGCGAGUGGCGAACGGGUGAGUAACGCGUGAGGAACCUGCCUCAAAGAGGGGGACAACAGUUGGAAACGACUGCUAAUACCGCAUAAGCCCACGGGUCGGCAUCGACCAGAGGGAAAAGGAGCAAUCCGCUUUGAGAUGGCCUCGCGUCCGAUUAGCUAGUUGGUGAGGUAAUGGCCCACCAAGGCGACGAUCGGUAGCCGGACUGAGAGGUUGAACGGCCACAUUGGGACUGAGACACGGCCCAGACUCCUACGGGAGGCAGCAGUGGGGAAUAUUGCACAAUGGGGGAAACCCUGAUGCAGCGACGCCGCGUGGAGGAAGAAGGUCUUCGGAUUGUAAACUCCUGUU